AACAAACAUUCCAUGUAACAGCCCCAGAAGAUAUUAAAAUGAAAUGAGUAUUUAAAUAUAUCAAAUGCGGAAGCGAGAUCAAAAUUUCAGUUAACAUCCCUUACACGAAAAACUAAACAAACGUACUUAAAAUAUAAAAGGUUAAACUAACUAAGAAGGAAAACUCGAAAAUAAACUAUGCGUAUGACUACAGAGUCUCUAGGCAUCCCCUUCGUCGUCCUCCUGCGGAACGGGCUCGGGAACCAUGUCUUCCUGAUAUGAAAUGGUUAAUUAAGGAGUGAGCUACACUAGCCCAGUAAGAACAUCACGAUAUCUCACCGUCACGGAGAUAAAGGU
rnacentral:lncRNA from 1 species